UACGUAGGGGGCAAGCGUUGUCCGGAAUCAUUGGGCGUAAAGAGCGUGUAGGCGGCCCGGUAAGUCCGCUGUGAAAGUCCAGGGCUCAACCCUGGGAUGCCGGUGGAUACUGUCGGGCUAGAGUCCGGAAGAGGAGAGUGGAAUUCCUGGUGUAGCGGUGAAAUGCGCAGAUAUCAGGAAGAACACCCGUGGCGAAGGCGGCUCUCUGGGACGGUACUGACGCUGAGACGCGAAAGCGUGGGUAGCGAACAGG
rnacentral:rRNA from 1 species